rnacentral:rRNA from 1 species
GGGCGCAAGCCUGAUGCAGCCAUGCCGCGUGUGUGAAGAAGGCCUUCGGGUUGUAAAGCACUUUCAGCGGGGAGGAAGGCGGUUGAGGUUAAUAACCUUCAUCGAUUGACGUUACCCGCAGAAGAAGCACCGGCUAACUCCGUGCCAGCAGCCGCGGUAAUACGGAGGGUGCAAGCGUUAAUCGGAAUUACUGGGCGUAAAGCGCACGCAGGCGGUCUGUCAAGUUCGGAUGUGAAAUCCCCGGGCUCAACCUGGGAACUGCAUUCGAAACUGGCAGGCUAGAGUUCUUGUAGAGGGGGGUAGAAUUCCAGGUGUAGCGGUGAAAUGCGUAGAGAUCUGGAGGAAUACC